GAUGAACGCUGGCGGCGUGCCUAAUACAUGCAAGUCGAGCGAACAGAUGAGGAGCUUGCUCCUCUGACGUUAGCGGCGGACGGGUGAGUAACACGUGGAUAACCUACCUAUAAGACUGGGAUAACUUCGGGAAACCGGAGCUAAUACCGGAUAAUAUAUUGAACCGCAUGGUUCAGUAGUGAAAGACGGUUUUGCUGUCACUUAUAGAUGGAUCCGCGCCGCAUUAGCUAGUUGGUAAGGUAACGGCUUACCAAGGCAACGAUGCGUAGCCGACCUGAGAGGGUGAUCGGCCACACUGGAACUGAGACACGGUCCAGACUCCUACGGGAGGCAGCAGUAGGGAAUCUUCCGCAAUGGGCGAAAGCCUGACGGAGCAACGCCGCGUGAGUGAUGAAGGUCUUCGGAUCGUAAAACUCUGUUAUUAGGGAAGAACAAAUGUGUAAGUAACUAUGCACGUCUUGACGGUACCUAAUCAGAAAGCCACGGCUAACUACGUG
rnacentral:rRNA from 1 species